AAAAUAAAUGUAAAAACAAAUGAUAUAAUACAAAAUAAAUGUAAAAACAAAUAAAUAUUAAAAUAAGUAUAAAAACAGAUGAUAUAAAUAUAAAAUACUUGUAACAAUAAAUGAUUCAAAUAUAAAAUAAAUGUAAAAACAAAUAAUAGAAAUGUAAAAUUAAUGUAAAAACAAAUUAUAAAGGUCUAAAAAAAUGCAAUAAAAUCACAUUUCUAGUGAUAAUUCACCUUAACAGUUGUGUUUGUAACAUUUAUAUUUUGUUCUACUUCCUUUUUUGGAGGGAGAUGGUUUGUGGUUAGCAAGCAGCUGCAACUUCCUCUCUUGACAACGUGCACACUUAUUUUCAUAUUCAUUGUGAAAAUCUUUAUUCAUCAAAAUAAUGAACACUUUCAAGUAUUUGUUGAAAAAAAUCAAAUGUAUUGAACCUAUUUCUUCAUGGAUCAUAUUUUCAUAAUGCUGGACCUUUUCUGACUUUUGAAUAAGGAAACAUUGAAAACUAACCGGACUUCUACUUCACUUCCGAUACUUAUAUAUUUCACUUGUAUUCAUCUUGCAACUUACCCCAGUUGUUCUGUUGGCUUCUGUUGGUCAAAUCAAGGUUGGAUUCAUGAAGUCUGGAAGCUGCAGUCAAGGACAUUAUGAAGAUGAAGAGAAGGAGGAUGAUGAUGAUGAUGAUGAUGCAAUAGAGCCUGUCUGCUCACUUUGACCAAGUGAACGAGUGAGCAAGUGAAGAGCACGCGAGCAGACAAAGGGGGCGGAGAACACGUCACGUGACACAUCAAGCGGUUGCUGAGAGAGGAAGCAGAGUGAAAAUACACAACUUGAUCAACAAAGGAAACACGUCGCCAUGAGAUCAGCAAGGCUUCUGUCCUGCUGCAGCUUCGUGACUUCCCUCAGAGACUCUGGCGUCAACACACCCGUGGCCACACCCCUCCGACUUUCAGGUACUAUUUAACUCACUAAAACACUAGCAACAUAAUAUGCAGAAAACGGAUUUCCCAGAAUUAUCCUAGUAAAUGUGUCUAAAAAUAUCUGAAUCACUCCCACUGCAAUCGCCUUUUUUUAUUUAUUUUUCUAGUCCUUCACUCUAAAUUUCCUCAUCCACAAAUUUUUCAUCCUCGCUUAAAUUAAUGGGGAAAUGGUCGCUUUCUCGGUCCGAAUCUCUCUAGUUGCUGCUGGGUAUGAUUGUAAACAAUCUUCAGAUGUGAGGAGCUCCACAACCCGUG